rnacentral:rRNA from 1 species
AAUGAACGCUGGCGGCAGGCCUAACACAUGCAAGUCGAACGCACCGCAAGGUGAGUGGCAGACGGGUGAGUAACGCGUGGGAACCUUCCCUUUGGUUCAGGAUAGCCCCGGGAAACUGGGAUUAAUACUGGAUAAGAUCUACGGAUGAAAGAUUUAUCGCCGAAGGAUGGGCCCGCGUAAGAUUAGCUAGUUGGUGAGGUAAUGGCUCACCAAGGCUUUGAUCUUUAGCUGGUCUGAGAGGAUGAUCAGCCACACUGGAACUGAGACACGGUCCAGACUCCUACGGGAGGCAGCAGUGAGGAAUAUUGGACAAUGGGCGCAAGCCUGAUCCAGCCAUGCCGCGUGAGUGAUGAAGGCCUUAGGGUUGUAAAACUCUUUUAGUGGGGAAAAUAAUGAUGGUACCCACAGAAAAAGCUCCGGCUAACUUCGUGCCAGCAGCCGCGGUAA